rnacentral:rRNA from 1 species
CAGUAGCCGCGGUAAUACGAAGGGUGCAAGCGUUAAUCGGAAUUACUGGGCGUAAAGCGCACGCAGGCGGUCUGACAAGUCAGAUGUGAAAUCCCCGGGCUUAACCUGGGAACUGCAUUUGAAACUGUCAGGCUGGAGUCUUGUAGAGGGGGGUGGAAUUCCAGGUGUAGCGGUGAAAUGCGUAGAGAUCUGGAGGAAUACCGGUGGCGAAGGCGGCCCCCUGGACAAAGACUGACGCUCAGGUGCGAAAGCGUGGGGAGCAAACAGGAUUAGAUACCCCGGUAGUCCCUGUCUCUUAUAC